rnacentral:rRNA from 1 species
GACAGAGGUCUCAAGCGUUUAGGCGGAAUCACUGGGCUUAAAGCGUGUGUAGGCGGAAUCCUAAGUACCUUGUGAAAUCCCCGGGCUUAACCCGGGAACUGCUUGGUAUACUGGGUUUCUUGAGCCAACGUAGGGGCGACCGGAACAAACGGUGGAGCGGUGAAAUGCGUAGAUAUCGUUUGGAACGCCAAUGGUGAAAACAGGUCGCUGGGGUUGUGCUGGACGCUGAGACACGAAAGCCAGGGGAGCGAACGGG